rnacentral:rRNA from 1 species
AUUGAACGCUGGCGGCAUGCCUUACACAUGCAAGUCGAACGGUAACGGGCCUUCGGGUGCCGACGAGUGGCGAACGGGUGAGUAAUGUAUCGGAACGUACCUUUCAGUGGGGGAUAACGUAGCGAAAGUUACGCUAAUACCGCAUAUUCUGUGAGCAGGAAAGCAGGGGAUCGCAAGACCUUGCGCUGAAUGAGCGGCCGAUGUCAGAUUAGCUAGUUGGUGAGGUAAAGGCUCACCAAGGCGACGAUCUGUAGCGGGUCUGAGAGGAUGAUCCGGUAACCUGGAACUUGGACACGGUCCAGACUCCUACGGGAGGCAGCAGUGGGGAAUUUUGGACAAUGGGGGCAACCCUGAUCCAGCCAUGCCGCGUGAGUGAAGAAGGCCUUCGGGUUGUAAAGCUCUUUCGGCCGGGAAGAAAUCGCACGGGCUAAUACCCUGUGUGGAUGACGGUACCGGAAUAAGAAGCACCGGCUAACUACGUGCCAGCAGCCGCGGUAACAC